rnacentral:rRNA from 1 species
AUGAGUGCUCUAUCAGACAAGAUUGUUCUUCUGGUGACUCACCAAGUGGAUUUUCUACCUGUAUUUGACUCCAUUUUGUUAAUGUCAGAUGGAGAGGUUAUUCAGUCUGCACCUUAUCAAGAUCUAUUGGCAGAUUGUGAAGAAUUUAAAGACCUUGUACAUGCCCAUAAAGAUACUAUGGGUGUUUCGCAUCGUAAGAAUAACAUACCCCAUCAAAGAUCUAAGGAAGUAUCAAUAAAGGAGACAGAUGGUAUUCAUGGAAGUAGAUAUACAGAGUCUAUGAAACCAUCACUAGCAGAUCAACUGAUCAAGUAA